rnacentral:snoRNA from 1 species
AGGACCGAUGAUGAGAACUGGUGGCGCAUGAUCAGAGAUGAUGAAUAGUACAUGUGUCUGGAAGUCUGAGGUCCAG